AGAGGAACAUUUACAGAGCACGG
rnacentral:piRNA from 1 species